rnacentral:rRNA from 1 species
AUGUUCGCUGUCUUCCUUGCUUCCUACCUUCAGACGGUCAUUCCUUUUCUUCUGCUUCUCCUGCCGGAUCCCCCUUCCUCGUUCUUCAUCUGCUUCUUCCUCCGGGAAAACACCGCGCCCCUCCUGAGCAAUCGACGACCCUCUUCCCCACUCUGCCCGCCCCCAAUUCGUCUGCGGCAUCGCCGAUCGGAUCUGGCUGACGUCGUCUGGAUGGAUGUUUUUUUUGCAGGUGGCCAAUGUAUUCGUCGGCUUCUAGGGUUCCUUGAAGGUCUGCGGCGUGUACGGUCCCGUGAAGGUCUGCGUCUUCUAGGGCUUCGUCAAGCUCGACGUCGAAUUGGACUUCGUCAAGUUCGUCAUCUUGAAAGCAACAAUUGUGCUCUGUAUGCUAUUAUGUACAUGGAUAUCUGGGAUGGGAAGAACAUGAAGGACUUUGACGAUGAAAUUAUUCCUCAAUUCUGGCAGGUUGUUGCUUACAAACUGACAAAGUCUGACAUCGGUGAAGAAAAUUUCGAGGGACUUGAAGAUGUUUCAACCAAGAAGAGGAAGAAGCGUCGUUAG